rnacentral:rRNA from 1 species
UACGUAGGGUGCGAGCGUUAAUCGGAAUUACUGGGCGUAAAGUGUGCGCAGGCGGCUCUGCAAGUCGAGUGUGAAAUCCCCGAGCUUAACUUGGGAAUGGCGCUCGAAACUACGGAGCUCGAGUAUGGCAGAGGGAGGUGGAAUUCCACGUGUAGCGGUGAAAUGCGUAGAGAUGUGGAGGAACACCAAUGGCGAAGGCAGCCUCCUGGGCCAAUACUGACGCUCAUGCACGAAAGCGUGGGGAGCAAACAGG